GUUUCAGAACUACACUAAUGGAGCUGGAGGAGUUUAAUGUGAAAACGCUGUAUGACAAGUUAGAGGAUCAGAAUUUACAUCUGGCAACACAGCUGACAAAGCACCGCAAAGACACACAGGAGUUUUACAGGAACAUGUGUCAGCAAAUUGAUGCUCUGAGGGACACACUAGAAAAUAUGGAACCUUCAAAACUGAAGCAGCUGAAAAAAAUACUAGACAAUGAAGUUCUGAUGAAAAGAGAAACUGCUCAUGAGCCGUGGAUGGGGCUGAUGGAGGCCGUGCUGAGAUCUUUGGAGGGAGUGCUGUGCAGAAUGAAUGGGGAGGUCUGGCAGCAACAGGACAGCACAGCAACAUACAGCCACAGAGACACUCGAGAGAGUGAACUUCACACCCGAUACACUCAGUUUUCUCCUGCAGACAUGUCAGAGUUUAAAGUGGGUGCAGACACAGAGGCAGCUUCCUCAGAUCCAGGUUCGACCUUGAUAAAAACCAGUUUGCAGUCUUUGACCCAGGGCUCCUGCUAUGCUCACAGUACAUGCUCUCAUCUGUCAGGUCAACAGCAGAGCACCAUCCCCUGCGUGAGUGAAGAGGAAAUGGCCAAGUUUGUGUCUCUGACUCCUCUGUCCAAAACACUGCAGGAAAUAAAGGAAUCACUCCAGACACUCGCCCACACAUCCGACACAGAGGACGUAAUUAUCAGCCCAGCAGAGGGUGAACCAUCGCACCUGAUCCCUGUUGCCCUUGACAGCCUUUCCCCACAGCAUUUUGCUAUCUUCCUGUUUGGCUGCCAUGUUGUGCGUUUACUGAGCAGAGCUUGUUCCUUCCCCUCUGUCGUGCUGCUAUUGGCCAGGACGGUGCCAGUCUCUCACUGUGAUAACCUGCUGGCCUACUGCCAUAAAGACUUUUAUUACGACACAGCCAAUCAAAUUCUGUACAUCCUAGAGAGGAAGCUUCAAAAUGCUGGCCAGUUCAUCUCCAUUCUCUUACACUCAAUGGCCUAUAUCACCUCAGGCUCAAAAUCUCUUGAAUUCAUGAAAGCCUUCCACUUGGCCAUUUCAGCAUUAAGCAUGCAGUUGUUUCAUCACUGUUUCACUGAGGAUCAGAGGAAAGUAAAGAUGGAUGAGGAAAACAUACCGGAGGCCUUUGGAACAUUAAUAGAGGACUUCUUCAGUGUAAAAAUACCUACUGAAACGCAUUUCACUGAGCACCUGCUGGCAGAGAGACUUCAAGUAUAUAAAUACUUCAAGUUGGAACAGCUCCUUCAAGAACUAAAACCAACUCUAAAAGACAGACAUGGAGAUGGUGAGAGAUUUUGA
rnacentral:lncRNA from 12 species